rnacentral:rRNA from 1 species
GACGAACGCUGGCGGCGUGCUUAACACAUGCAAGUCGAACGGAAAGGCCCUGCUUUUGUGGGGUGCUCGAGUGGCGAACGGGUGAGUAACACGUGAGUAACCUGCCCUUGACUUUGGGAUAACUUCAGGAAACUGGGGCUAAUACCGGAUAGGAGCUCCUGCUGCAUGGUGGGGGUUGGAAAGUUUCGGCGGUUGGGGAUGGACUCGCGGCUUAUCAGCUUGUUGGUGGGGUAGUGGCUUACCAAGGCUUUGACGGGUAGCCGGCCUGAGAGGGUGACCGGCCACAUUGGGACUGAGAUACGGCCCAGACUCCUACGGGAGGCAGCAGUGGGGAAUAUUGCACAGUGGGCGGGAGCCUGAUGCAGCGACGCCGCGUGCGGGAUGACGGCCUUCGGGUUGUAAACCGCUUUCGCCUGUGACGAAGCGUGAGUGACGGUAAUGGGUAAAGAAGCACCGGCUAACUACGUG